rnacentral:rRNA from 1 species
UACGUAGGUGGCAAGCGUUGUCCGGAAUUACUGGGCGUAAAGGGCUCGUAGGCGGCCAACUAAGUCAGACGUGAAAUCCCUCGGCUUAACCGGGGAACUGCAUCUGAUACUGGAUGGCUUGAGUUCGGGAGAGGGAUGCGGAAUUCCAGGUGUAGCGGUGAAAUGCGUAGAUAUCUGGAGGAACACCGAUGGCGAAGGCAGCCUCCUGGGCCAAUACUGACGCUCAUGCACGAAAGCGUGGGGAGCAAACAGG